rnacentral:misc_RNA from 1 species
GCAAACUUGGUCAUUUAGAGGAAGUAAAAGUCGUAACAAGGUUUCCGUAGGUGAACCUGCGGAAGGAUCAUUAUCGAGCGUUGGUUGGGGCCCGCACCCCGCCGCCUCCCGUCCUUUGCCUUACCUUUGUACCCCUUUUGCUUCGGCGGGGAGACCCGCCGGCGCGACGGUUCAAACCUUCGUUUCGAAACGCGGCCGUCCGAGUGAGAAAGCUAAUAGUCGAAAACUUUCAACAACGGAUCUCUUGGUUCCGGCAUCGAUGAAGAACGCAGC